rnacentral:lncRNA from 1 species
GCUUGAAAUCCUCUCUAUUCUAUUGGAUGUUGCUGGGAUGUUAUCGAAAGCCGGAAGAAACGUUAAGUCUAGGGGAGGAGGAGUUUGGUGAAGGUUAGGGAGUUUGGCUCCUCUCCUGCGGGUGAUGGUUAUCUGCACAGACCGUCCUGUUUUUUCUCCUUCUUUUCAAGGUUGGAAUGGCCUUGCUCACGCACUUGGUUCUGCUCUUGUCUCAACUAAGCAAGCUAAACAAAUUUCUGCUGCCUGAGCCUGUGGCGGGGGCAAGUCUGACACCGGAUGGCUUUUUAGCUCAAAAUGGAAUAACUUUGGCUCCUCAGGCAAGUAGCAAAAAUGUCAAAGCAAACUCUGAACUCCUGUGAGAAGCAUAAGUGUGUUCAGUUUUUCUGUCCUGUGAUGCUCAGAGACAUUCCUGACUCUGCUUACUGACUUUCCCCUGACAGGGGAGGGGUUUCUGUUACCCUCGGGCUCAAGGAAGCUGGAACUGAGACUCAACCCUCUUUCUCUUAGUCAACACCACAAGUGCCUGCUGCAUGUGUCAACACUGUGCUCAGCGAUGAAGGAAAGAGAAAGCAGAAGAAAAGAGUUAAGGGAGGAGGAAGUGAAGGAGGGCAGCUGACUGAGAGGCACCAAGGCACAAGAGCUGACUCUGCAAAUAUGGAAGAAAAAAGUGUUUUGUGAAACACGCCCUUCCACGGGUGAUGUGCAGUAUGACCUUAGACGAUAUCUGGGAAAUGUCUCCCUUGGAGAUGGACCAUCCCAACACCAGCAGCUGUCACUUGUUCUCCUUGGAAUCCAGAGUUGCAUAAGGAGCAAGAUCAGCACUUUAGGGGUCCUGGACCCAACCAGGACCAGACUUUCCUUUGCACCUCUUAGCAUGGUGACCACAGUGAACAGGACAGUGAUGGAGAACGGGGUGCAGCGGAGCCUAUUUGACCAGCAGUCUGGAGGACCGCAUUUCCUAGGAGCCCCAGUAGGUCUAAGCUGUUUAUUCCAUCUUUCUCACUUAGAUAAACGCAGCUGCCUGAGCUUCACACAUCGGAUCUAUUACCCUCUCAAGCAGGAAUGACACAGGCACAGAAACAAUAAAAUCUUUUUC